GAUGAACGCUGACAGAAUGCUUAACACAUGCAAGUCUACUUGAUUCUACUUCGGUAGUUGAUGGUGGCGGACGGGUGAGUAACGCGUAAAGAAUCUGCCCUUUAGUUUGGGAUAACCUUUGGAAACGAAGGCUAAUACCGAAUAUUAUGGAGAUGUCGCAUGACGACUUCACGAAAGCUAUAUUCGCUAGAGGAGGACUUUGCGUCCCAUUAGUUAGUUGGUGAGGUAAUGGCUCACCAAGACCGCGAUGGGUAGCCGGCCUGAGAGGGUGAUCGGCCACAAGGGAACUGAGACACGGUCCUUACUCCUACGGGAGGCAGCAGUGGGGAAUAUUGGACAAUGGACCACAAGUCUGAUCCAGCAAUUCUGUGUGCACGAUGAAGGUCUUCGGAUUGUAAAGUGCUUUCAGUAGGGAAGAAAAAAAUGACGGUACCUACAGAAGAAGCGACGGCUAAAUAUGUGCCAGCAGCCGCGGUAAGAC
rnacentral:rRNA from 1 species